UAACGCUACGGCAGGCUAAUACAUGCAAGUUCAAACGGUGUCUUCGGACAUAGUGGCGCACGGGUGCGUAACACGUAUGCAACCUACCUUACAUUGGGGGAUAGCCUUUCGAAAGGGAGAUUAAUACCGCAUAAGACAGUAGCUGGGCAUCCAGCAGCUGUUAAAGAUUUAUCGAUGUAAGCUGGGCAUGCGUCCAAUUAGCUAGUUGGUGAGGUAAUGGCUCACCAAGGCAAUGAUUGGUAGGGGAACUGAGAGGUCAAUCCCCCACACUGGCACUGAGAUACGGGCCAGACUCCUACGGGAGGCAGCAGUAGGGAAUAUUGGGCAAUGGACGCAAGUCUGACCCAGCCAUGCCGCGUGCAGGAUGAAGGCGUUAUGCGUUGUAAACUGCUUUUAUACAGGAAGAAACGACUCUUGCGAGAGGCAUUGACGGUACUGUAUGAAUAAGCACCGGCUAACUCCGUGCCAGCAGACGCGGUAAUACGGAGGGUGCAAGCGUUGUCCGGAUUUAUUGGGUUUAAAAGGGUGCGCAGGUGGUUUAUUAAAGUCAGUGGUGAAAGACGGGUCGCCUUCAACCGAUUGCAGUUGCCAUUGAAAACUGGUAGACUUGAGUAAAAGUAAAGGUGGGCGGAAUUGAUAAGUGUAAGCGGGUGAAAAUGCAUUAGAUUUUAUCAAGGAACUCCCAAUUGCGUAGGCAGCUCACUUGGCUUUUACUGACACUCAUG
rnacentral:rRNA from 1 species